GGCAAGAUGGCCGAGCGGUCUAAGGCGCCGCAUUCAAGGGAAAUUUCCCUUAUAGGGGGUUCACUCUCUAUAAUAUAUAUAUAUAUAUAUAUAUGUAUCGCGGUCUCGCAAGAGGCGGGGGUUCGAAUCCCCCUCUUGUCA
rnacentral:tRNA from 1 species